rnacentral:rRNA from 1 species
CCUACGGGAGGCAGCAGUGAGGAAUAUUGGUCAAUGGGCUUACGCCUGAACCAGCCAAGUCGCGUGAGGGAAGACUGCCCUAUGGGUUGUAAACCUCUUUUGUCAGGGAGCAAUUGGCGCUACGUGUAGCGUUAUCGAGAGUACCUGAAGAAAAAGCAUCGGCUAACUCCGUGCCAGCAGCCGCGGUAAUACGGAGGAUGCGAGCGUUAUCCGGAUUGAUUGGGUUUAAAGGGUGCGUAGGCGGAAUGCCAAGUCAGCGGUAAAAUCGCGGGGCUCAACCUCGCUCCGCCGUUGAAACUGGCGUUCUUGAGUGGGCGAGAAGUAUGCGGAAUGCGUGGUGUAGCGGUGAAAUGCAGAGAUAUCACGCAGAACUCCGAUUGCGAAGGCAGCAUACCGGCGCCCAACUGACGCUGAAGCACGAAAGCGUGGGUAUCGAACAGGAUUAGAUACCCUUGUAGUC